rnacentral:rRNA from 1 species
CAGGACUUGACGUCCCUCGCUAUAGGCGGAAACGUCUAGUUCCCUUCGGGGACGAGGAGACAGGUGGUGCACGGUUGUCGUCAGCUCGUGUCGUGAGAUGUUGGGUUAAGUCCCGCAACGAGCGCAACCCCUAUCCUUAGUUGCCAGCGUAAAGACGGGCACUCUAGGGAGACUGCCGGUGUAAACCGGAGGAAGGCGGGGAUGACGUCAAAUCAUCAUGCCCCUCAUGUCCUGGGCUACACACGUGCUACAAUGGGCUGUACAAAGGGAAGCGAUACCGCGAGGAGGAGCAAAUCCCAUAAAACAGCUCUCAGUUCAGAUCGUAGGCUGCAACUCGCCUACGUGAAGAUGGAGUUGCUAGUAAUCGCCGGUCAGCAUACGGCGGUGAAUGCGUUCCC